rnacentral:rRNA from 1 species
AGACCCGAAACCCGGUGAUCUAGCCAUGGGCAGGUUGAAGGUUGGGUAACACUAACUGGAGGACCGAACCGACUAAUGUUGAAAAAUUAGCGGAUGACCUGUGGCUGGGGGUGAAAGGCCAAUCAAACCGGGAGAUAGCUGGUUCUCCCCGAAAGCUAUUUAGGUAGCGCCUCGUGAAUUCAUCUCCGGGGGUAGAGCACUGUUUCGGCUAGGGGGCCAUCCCGGCUUACCAACCCGAUGCAAACUGCGAAUACCGGAGAAUGUUAUCACGGGAGACACACGGCGGGUGCUAACGUCCGUCGUGAAGAGGGAAACAACCCAGACCGCCAGCUAAGGUCCCAAAGUCAUGGUUAAGUGGGAAACGAUGUGGGAAGGCCCAGACAGCCAGGAUGUUGGCUUAGAAGCAGCCAUCAUUUAAAGAAAGCGUAAUAGCUCACUGGUCGAGUCGGCCUGCGCGGAAGAUGUAACGGGGCUAAACCAUGCACCGAAGCUGCGGCAGCGAACGUAUCACUUAAAGCGAUUCAGCGGGUUACGAUUGACGGAGCGAAGCGACGUCAAAGCGUAUACAAAGUCGAGUCGGUUUAAGGAUACGUUCGUUGGGUAGGGGAGCGUUCUGUAAGCCUGCGAAGGUGGCCUGUGAGGGUUGCUGGAGGUAUCAGAAGUGCGAAUGCUGACAUAAGUAACGAUAAAGCGGGUGAAAAGCCCGCUCGCCGGAAGACCAAGGGUUCCUGUCCAACGUUAAUCGGGGCAGGGUGAGUCGACCCCUAAGGCGAGGCCGAAAGGCGUAGUCGAUGGGAAACGGGUUAAUAUUCCCGUACUUGGUGUUACUGCGAAGGGGGGACGGAGAAGGCUAUGUUGGCCGGGCGACGGUUGUCCCGGUUUAAGCGUGUAGGUGUGUGUUCCAGGUAAAUCCGGUUCACUUUAACACUGAGGCGUGAUGACGAGGCACUACGGUGCUGAAGCAACAAAUGCCCUGCUUCCAGGAAAAGCCUCUAAGCAUCAGGUAACAUCAAAUCGUACCCCAAACCGACACAGGUGGUCAGGUAGAGAAUACCAAGGCGCUUGAGAGAACUCGGGUGAAGGAACUAGGCAAAAUGGUGCCGUAACUUCGGGAGAAGGCACGCUGACACGUAGGUGAAGUGAUUUACUCAUGGAGCUGAAGUCAGUCGAAGAUACCAGCUGGCUGCAACUGUUUAUUAAAAACACAGCACUGUGCAAACACGAAAGUGGACGUAUACGGUGUGACGCCUGCCCGGUGCCGGAAGGUUAAUUGAUGGGGUCAGCGCAAGCGAAGCUCCUGAUCGAAGCCCCGGUAAACGGCGGCCGUAACUAUAACGGUCCUAAGGUAGCGAAAUUCCUUGUCGGGUAAGUUCCGACCUGCACGAAUGGCGUAAUGAUGGCCAGGCUGUCUCCACCCGAGACUCAGUGAAAUUGAACUCGCUGUGAAGAUGCAGUGUACCCGCGGCAAGACGGAAAGACCCCGUGAACCUUUACUAUAGCUUGACACUGAACAUUGAGCCUUGAUGUGUAGGAUAGGUGGGAGGCUUUGAAGCGUGGACGCCAGUCUGC